GACGAACGCUGGCGGCGUGCCUAACACAUGCAAGUCGAACGGGACCAGGGGCAACUCUGGUUCAGUGGCGGACGGGUGCGUAACACGUGAGGAACAUGACCUUCGGCGGGGGAGUAGCCGGCCCAACGGCCGGGUAAUACCGCGUACGACCUUUCGGGGACAUCCCUGGAUGGUGAAAGCAGCAAUGCGCCGAUGGAGUGCCUCGCGGCCUAUCAGCUAGUUGGUGAGGUAACGGCUCACCAAGGCGACGACGGGUAGCUGGUCUGAGAGGAUGGCCAGCCACAUUGGGACUGAGACACGGCCCAGACUCCUACGGGAGGCAGCAGUGGGGAAUAUUGCGCAAUGGACGAAAGUCUGACGCAGCGACGCCGCG
rnacentral:rRNA from 1 species